rnacentral:rRNA from 1 species
AUUGAACGCUGGCGGCAUGCCUUACACAUGCAAGUCGAACGGGGGUAGCAAUACCCUAGUGGCGAACGGGUGAGUAAAGCAUCGGAACGUACCCAGUCGUGGGGGAUAACGUAGCGAAAGUUACGCUAAUACCGCAUACGUCCUGAGGGAGAAAGCGGGGGACCGUAAGGCCUCGCGCGAUUGGAGCGGCCGAUGUCGGAUUAGCUAGUUGGUGGGGUAAAAGCCUACCAAGGCGACGAUCCGUAGCUGGUCUGAGAGGAUGAUCAGCCACACUGGGACUGAGACACGGCCCAGACUCCUACGGGAGGCAGCAGUGGGGAAUUUUGGACAAUGGGGGAAACCCUGAUCCAGCCAUGCCGCGUGAGUGAAGAAGGCCUUCGGGUUGUAAAGCUCUUUCGGACGGAAAGAAAUCGCACAGGUAAAUAAUCUGUGUGGAUGACGGUACCGUAAGAAGAAGCACCGGCUAACUACGUGCCAGCAGCCGCGGUAA